rnacentral:rRNA from 1 species
GAUGAACGCUAGCGGUGCGCCUAACACAUGCAAGUCGAGCGAUAUAGCGGCGAACGGGUGAGUAACACGUUGGAACCUACCUCGGACUCAGGGAUAACACAGAGAAAUCUGUGCUAAUACCGGAUAGUCCCGCAAGGGUAAAGCUUUUGCGGUCCGAGAGGGGCCUGCGCAGUAUCAGUUUGUUGGUAAGGUAAUGGCUUACCAAGACUACGACGCUUAGCUGGUCUGAGAGGAUGAUCAGCCACAAUGGAACUGAGACACGGUCCAUACUCCUACGGGAGGCAGCAGUGAGGAAUCUUCCGCAAUGGGCGAAAGCCUGACGGAGCGACACCGCGUGAAGGAUGAAGGCCUUUUGGUUGUAAACUUCUUUUCUGAGGGAAUAAAUGAUGAAGGUACCUCAGGAAUAAGCACCGGCUAACUACGUG